AAUCUGGUCGCCUCAAUUCCCACCCGCAUCUCUCUCCCCUCAAACGACACAAACACCACGAGGUGAUGGACGCAACUAAGCCCAGUCUCCACUAGGGUUUGCGUCCGCCAUCGGGAUGAGAAUCGGCGGCGAUGGCGGCUUGCGGGGCAAAGGCAUCGAUCUGGAGGAUGGGUCGAACUUUAUGCAGAGGGGUGUGAACAUGCUCAUCAACAUCCUCGAGGGCCAGAGCCCGAGGACUACAUGAUGCAGCUGAUCACGUUAGUGAUUGCUGGCUUUGCUACGUUGGUUGAUUUUAAAUUCAGUUAAACAAGAUAGUAUGACUUUCGGAGACGUGUGCUUGCAUGGGUUUGUUACUUCCCUUUAUACCUGAUUGCAUUAGAAAACAAGGUCAGAGUAUAAUUCUGCUACUACACUUCCUUGGCAUUAGCGCUUGGGGUCAACAGAUUCAUCAAUUGUGCUUAUACUUUUGGUAUGCUCCAUUCAGUCCUCAUUGCAAGAAUUUGUAUACACAAGGAUAUACGAUGCAAGAUGACGAAGAAAAUAAAACGGCAUUUUGUUCAGAACUUCAGGCUGUAGUCCGUGUUUCCAUGUAGCUCCUUUGUAGUACUAUUGACUUGGUGGUAUUUUUUUCCCAGAAAUUUUUAUGGCUUUGUAGUAGCAGAUAAACUAAUAAAUGGAGUUAGGGGAUACGGACAUAUCAGCCACAUCGGGUGACCUUCAGAAGUUCAGAUAAUACUUACUUUUCUAACCCAAUCUAUACAAGUAA